UACGGAGGGGGCUAGCGUUGUUCGGAAUUACUGGGCGUAAAGCGCGCGUAGGCGGAUCGCUAAGUCAGGGGUGAAAUCCCAGGGCUCAACCCUGGAACUGCCUUUGAUACUGACGAUCUGGAGAUCGGGAGAGGUUGGUGGAAUUCCGAGUGUAGAGGUGAAAUUCGUAGAUAUUCGGAGGAACACCAGAAGCGAAGGCGGCCAACUGGCCCGAUACUGACGCUGAGGCGCGAAAGCGUGGGGAGCAAACAGG
rnacentral:rRNA from 1 species